UGGGAACACCCCCCUCCCAUCCCAGGGCGACCCCGGGACUGGAAUCCCGAAAGGAAGCGGGACACCCCAUGGAAUUCCACCCCUCCCAAAGGCCCCGGGGAUACCCCAAAGCGCCGUUUUGGGGCGACACGAAUCCCAACCCUGCUCUCCUCCAUUUUGGGGCUUCCAUCUCCCAACUGCAGCAAACCCAGGCUGGCUCCUUCCCGGGACAGCCCCUUCCCUGGGGACGGGAAGUUGGGAUAGAGGCGCUAUUUUGGGGAAAUUUUGCCUUUCCCCGGCAAAACAGCGGCUUGGGAGAGGCCCUGGCAGCGGGAGCCGGGCUGGCGUCACCCGGUUGAACAUUAACUCCACCGGGAUAAGCCGGGAUUUAUCAGAUCAGCCCCGCUCCCGCUCCGAGAUAACGCUCCCGGUUCCCCUCUGCGGCUUUUUGGGGAUCCCAAAGCCCCCAAAUGUCACCCGGGGAGCCCCAGGACGAAGCCAGGCCCCCGAGUUCCUCCUCAGGGAAUUCAGUGUCCCUCUAUCCCGCAUUUCCCGGCCCGGCGGCGCCAAGGGGAGGGGGACUGGGAGCCAGAGCGGGAGCGCCGGGAUUAAUGAAUAACCGGGAAAAGGCGGCGGGGGCCAGGGAGAGGUGUCACCGUCCCCGGCCGCCUCCCGUUCCCUAUGGAAAACAGCGGCCGCCCAACGGGAACCGCAAAUCCCACCGGAGAGGGGUGGGAUCCAGCCCCGGAGGGUGGGACGGCCAUUCCCGGGAAAAGUUGGGAUCCAGGAAAACAUCCCAUGUGCCGAGCCCAGGAUGGGGGCAGAUCCAUGGAGGCGUCUGGGCCUCGUCUCUGAUUCAUUCCCGGCUCAUUCCCGGCUCCUUCCCGGGCUGCCAAGGCCGGAUUUUAAUUAAACUGCGGAUUUUAAUUAACUCCUGGUCACCAAAGCGGAAUCAAACCCUCGGGGGGGGGCAGGGUGGGGGAGGACGUGGUCAGACUCCCCCUUUCACCCACAUUCCCGAUUCCUCAUUUCCUCCCGGAUACACCCGGGACUGGGAUCCGCUUCUUCUCCCCCCUCGCCGGCCGUUACCCCAAAACAACCCCAAAACAACCCCAAAACAACCCCAAAACCUUGGGAAAAAAAACCCCGGAUGCUCCAGGAGUGCCCGAGGGGGGUCCGGGGGCUCUUCCCACGUGGAUCCUCACGGGAAAACCCCGCGGAGGCCGAGGGGAAGCGGCGGCCGGGCCGUGAAAACACCGGGAGGAGGGAAACGGGGGGGCUCCGGUCACAGGGNAACCCAAAAAACCCAAAACAACCCCAAAAUCCAACCCCAAAACAACCCAAAACAACCCAAAACAACCCAAAACAACCCAAAACAACCCCAAAACAACCCAAAACAACCCAAAACAACC
rnacentral:lncRNA from 1 species